AUGGGGGUGUGGAGGGAGGGGGCCGGGUGGUGCUUCUGCUCCGGCGGCGGAGGCCGCUCCGAGCGGGUCAAGGCGGCCAUCUUCUCGGCCAAGGCCGCCGCGCUCGCCGCCGUCUGCGGCGGACACGGCACGGGACUCCUGAUCCACCGGAACCUGCUGCUCACCACGCACGGCAACCUGCCCUCCGCCGCCGCCGCCGAGGACGCCGCCGACGCGCUGCUCGGCCACGCCCGCCUCGCCGCCCGACUCGUGCCCCACAGAUUCUUCAUAACCAGCUCGAUUCUUGACCUUACGAUAGUCGGUGUUGAUUCUGCCGAGAAUGACUCGACUUUGCAGGCUCAGCAACCUCACUAUCUGAAAACAUGCUGCAAACCAAGCCUAGAUCAUGGGAGUGUUGUUUACCUGCUGGGGCAUACCGGGAAGAAGGAACUGGUGAUCGGCGACGGGAAAGUAGUGAUUGGCACGGAUAACCUCAUAAAGCUCUCCACAGAUGGGGUGACAUGGUGUCCUGGCUCUGCCGGUUUCGACGCCCAGGGGAACUUAGCUUUCAUGAUCUGUGACCCCAUGAAGCUGGCCUCCUCCCCCACUGCAAGGUCAUCUUCAGCAUCCUCAUCCUCAUCACAUUCAUCGAAGAAGGAUCAGCAAAUGCAGUUCGGGAUCCCAAUAUCGGUGGUCUGCGAUUGGUUGUAUCAGCAUUGGCAAGGCAACCUGGAUGAGGUUACCAAGCCAAAGUUACCUCUUGUUAGACUGAUGUCCAGCAGAAGCGAUCGCUCAAGCUCCUCCUUCACUCGUCGCAAUGUGUUCAAGCCUGCGGAUGACAAUAAUGAUGAUGCAUCAGUUACUUCAAAGAUGACUGCAAAGCCCAAAUACCAGCAGGGGUCAGGUAGCUCAGCCAAUGCAAGGAUUUCUCAUGAUGCAAAUCCUCUGGUUGAUCUACGGACCAACAAUGAGCAGGGGAUUUCAACUCCAGAAAUAUACGAAUCACCGAGGGGUAGUUCUUGUCAGGGUCACCAGGAUCCUGCACCAGUACAACUCCUGGACAUCAACUUCCCAGCUAAGGUUCCCAAGACUAUUUUUCUACCACUGCCCUUGAAACAAAUGCUUUCCGAGGAGAACAAUGCGGACACAUCAAAGGCGAAACCCAGGAAUCCAUCCAGAGAGAAUCACUUUCCAGCAGGCCUGAUAUGGCACCGUAAUGGCGAGGCAGAUUCUAGGGAUCCUCCGGUUGCUCUUAUGGAGGACUGUAGCAGUGAGGGGCAGUCGAGCUCGUCACCUGCUGAGCGAUCGCGGUACAGACAUCAAGACCAGUUCAGCAGCGAGGAGGAGACAAUGUACUCGGCCGAAACCAUGGAGAGCACAAACAUUCCAAGCUCCAGGGAGAAGCACGUCGGGAGGAGCCAGAGCUGCGUCAACUACAGCAGGUGGAGCUCUCCGAGGAAACCGUCGAUGAUUCAAACCGGGACCUUGAGGAAGCAGCACACGCUGAUCCCUGUGCGGAAGACGCACUCGCAGAGCACGUCCCUGCCGCAGAGGAGUCAUGACUACUUGAGCCCGACGGUCUCCUCGGCCAUGAAGAAGAGGAACUCCAUGGAGCUGCAACAGCCCCCAAAGCCCCGUCGGAUCAUCGUCCAGUCUUCUCCGAAAUGGAUGUUCUGA
rnacentral:rRNA from 1 species